GUGGAAUAAUCGCGGGCCUGGCCUCUCCCUGUUCCAACUCCCAGGACUGUCCUGACCUGCCUGACCACUUGCACCCUGUUGGCUCUCUGUGCCUGGCUGCAGAUCAAGUAAAAUUCAGCUCUUUGACAGGGCCAUAGGACCCCAGUUUCCCUCUUGGGCAGCACAGUAGGCAAAUCCAGAAGAUCUAGGACUGAGUGUGCGUAAGGACAAUGCUGUGGGUCCCCUCCUCCUGCUUCUCUCCGCCCUACCCAUGUAGACUUGCGGUCCCAACAAGCCUUUGCUAUUCACAUUUCUCGGAUGGAUUUAUUUGCCCUUAUUUGCAUAAGAAAUACUAGCUCCUCAUCCUAAUGAGCGGGCCCAUCUGGCAUGCAGGCCUCCUCCCAGGGCUACUUCUCCAAGAGCCUGAAGGACAGGCAGCCGGGACACUGCAAACUGUCCAUCUGUCUCACUGCUGUGACAAAAUAUGUGGGACUGCACAACAUAUAUGGAAAAGAACAUUCAGCACACAGCUGGAGCGUGGCUGAUAAGAGUGAGUACCUCGGUCUUAGUGUGU
rnacentral:lncRNA from 1 species